UCUACGGGAGGCUGCAGUGAGGAAUAUUGGUCAAUGGGCGGGAGCCUGAACCAGCCAAGUCGCGUGAGGGACGACGGUCCUAUGGAUUGUAAACCUCUUUUGUCGGGGAACAAAGGCGCCCACGGGUGGGCGGAUGAGUGUACCCGAAGAAAAAGCAUCGGCUAACUCCGUGCCAGCAGCCGCGGUAAUACGGAGGAUGCGAGCGUUAUCCGGAUUUAUUGGGUUUAAAGGGUGCGUAGGCGGACAGUCAAGUCAGCGGUAAAAAUUCGGGGCUCAACGCCGAACAGCCGUUGAAACUGGGAGGCUUGAGUGGACGAGAGGUAGGCGGAAUACGUGGUGUAGCGGUGAAAUGCAUAGAUAUCACGCAGAACUCCGAUUGCGAAGGCAGCAUACCGGCGCCCUACUGACGCUGAGGCACGAAAGUGUGGGUAUCGAACAGGAUUAGAUACCCGAGUAGUC
rnacentral:rRNA from 1 species